CAAUACUUUUGAUAAUCGAUAAUAUUUUAACUGUUGUGCAGUUGCAUUUCUUAUAACACCUAUAAUAGUCUCCACAGUUAAUGCCAGAUGAUUGAUUAUACGCGCUGUGCACUGGAGGAAUAUAAGCAAUUGAAAUCAUGGGACGCAAGCUACUCCAUAGAAAGCUAUAACAAGUGAAAGAUUCUAUGUGAGAAUGCUUAUUUUGCGGCUUCACACCACGGGACCAAAAUGGGAUAAACUUGUACCUCUAAUAUGUAAAUUGCAUUCCCAUUUUAAAGAAUUUAAAAUAAAAAGGUAGUUAUAGCAGGAACAGCAUACGGACAGACAGACUGAUAUGGCCAAGAAUAUACACACUUUAUGAGGUUGGAG